rnacentral:lncRNA from 1 species
UGGGAGUUGAGAUAAAGUUGAGAGUCCAGGGGACUGUCAUGGCUGGAGUUCACAGGACAGAGUGCUGGAGAGGAGAGAGCUGCACAGAGAGAACUUGAGAGGCCUGCAAAGGGUUCCCCUCAAGUAUUCGGCUGAGUACUAAUUAGUACCUGUCUGUGAGGAAAUUACCUGAAGCUGCGGAAAGAAACCCCUAAAUAUAUUAGGGGUAGCAGGAUCUGGUGCUCACACAGAGCUGAGAAUAUUUGCCCUUCUCACCAGCCAGACUGGAAAACCCCAUGAUUCACAGGACAUUAGGUAUCCAGUUCAGCACCUCACACAGAGCAAGUACUCAAUAAAGGUUUGUCGCAUGAAUAAAUGAUGAAGACUUUCCUUUCUGGCUUCCAGUGGAAGAUGUCAAAAGAACCAGGAUAUUAUGUGCAUGCUCCUGAGGGAAACUGACCUUUUCGGGAUUCAAUGAUGACUCAGGAAGAUUAGCCCUGAGCUAACAUCUGCUGCCAAUCCUCCUCUUUUUGCUGCGGAAGACUGGCCCUGAGCUAACAUCUGUGCCCAUCUUCCUCUACUGUGUAUGUGGGACACCUGCCACAGCAUGGCUUGCCAAGCGGUGCCAUGUCCGCACCCAGGAUCCCAACCCAUGAACUCCAGGCCACCAAAGCGGAACAUGCAAACUUAACUGCUGCGCCACUGGGCCGGCCCCCUGAUAUUCAAAUUUUACAUUGUUAUUCACAGUUAAGUCAGAUCCUGAAUGUGACUACAAACAAUUGCAUUUCUUUCCUUCUACAACUUUUCUGUUUCCCUGAAGGUUUUGGUGGCAAGUUUAUGUUGGCCUCCCAGUAGAUGGUUCUCAUGCUCCAUCUGUCUUGAAGAAGUAAGUUAUCUUGAUGUAAGUGGUUCACAUAUCAAGGAACAACAGGACGCCUCUAGGAGCUAAUGUUGGUGACAAGCUAGAAACUGAAGCUUCAGUCCAGCAGCUGCAAAGAAAUGAAUUCUACCAACAACCCAUGGAAACUUGGGAGUGGAUCUUUCCCCAGUCAAACUUCCAGAUGAGAACAUAGGCCAGAUGACACCUCGACUGCAGCCUUGUAAGACCUUGAGCAGAGAACACAGAUAAAUAGUCCC